UGACACUGAAGGACCAAAUAACUGGACAUAAGGCAUAGGAGGCUACAAAGUUUACAAACAGUUGAACAAAGCUAAGCCAAGAAUUGUUGUGUGCAUGCCAUUAGAUGUAACAGGGUACUUGGGGAUAGAAAAAUAGUCAAUACUAUUCCACCUAAAGCAUUUGAAAUUUAUAUAAAAUAAAUCAUAUUUCUUUGUCUAGUAUGAGUAGGAGAAGGUUUAACAGCAAAACAAUUGUGAUUAUGAUAGCAGAAGAGAAGCAUACAAGUCAGCACAAGUCCAAGCAUCAUUAUAUUACAUUCCCAUUACCUGCAACCCUCGAUGUUACUAUUCUCGAACCUCAUCAUACCUCCCAAAGUGGCCAGCUGAAAUAGUGAAAGUUUAAGACACUGAGAACGAAGGUAAAUCAUCUUGAAAAAGGAAAAAAAUCAUAUCAGUAUGUUAAGAAGAAAUGAGUUGAAGAUGGAUACCUGUAUAAUUUAUCUGAUGUUGCCUGAUCCACCACCACGCUAAGAUAUAAAGGAACAUCAUGACUUGAUCUUAUCACAGCCAACUCAACAGAUUCUCCAACAUGACUAAACAUGUUUUCAAAUAGCUAAUGACAAUUUGAAUAAAAAAUGAAGAAUAAUUAUUAAUACCAAUAGGAAAUUGCACUUUUUAUUGCAUGCAUGUUUUAGAUCUCCUUGUUUGUGUUGAUAGUUUUUUGUGGGUAUGCAUGUAUAUAUCUCAGUACAUUUACUUUAAUGCUAAGUUGUAUUGAUCAACUAGAAGAAAA
rnacentral:lncRNA from 1 species